AUUGAACGCUGGCGGCAGGCCUAACACAUGCAAGUCGAGCGGAUGAAGGGAGCUUGCUCCUGGAUUCAGCGGCGGACGGGUGAGUAAUGCCUAGGAAUCUGCCUGGUAGUGGGGGAUAACGUCCGGAAACGGGCGCUAAUACCGCAUACGUCCUGAGGGAGAAAGUGGGGGAUCUUCGGACCUCACGCUAUCAGAUGAGCCUAGGUCGGAUUAGCUAGUUGGUGGGGUAAAGGCCUACCAAGGCGACGAUCCGUAACUGGUCUGAGAGGAUGAUCAGUCACCUGGGAACUGAGACCGGUCCCGAACCCCUACGGGAGGAAGCGUUGGGAAAUUUUGGACAAUGGGCAAAGCCUGAUCCAGCCAUGCCGCGUGUGUGAAGAAGGUCUUCGGAUUGUAAAGCACUUUAAGUUGGGAGGAAGGGCAGUAAGUUAAUACCUUGCUGUUUUGACGUUACCAACAGAAUAAGCACCGGCUAACUUCGUG
rnacentral:rRNA from 1 species